rnacentral:RNase_P_RNA from 1 species
GGAGUUGACCUAGACAAUCGCCGCCUGACUUGCUUGCAUUUCAGGGGGAGGAAAGUCCGGGCUCCAUAGGGUAGAGUGCCAGGUAACGCCUGGGGGGCGUGAGCCUACGGAAAGUGCAACAGAAAAUAAACCGCCUAAGUGCCUAGCACCGGUAAGGUUGAAAUGGUGCGGUAAGAGCGCACCGCGCGGCUGGUAACAGGCGUGGCAUGGUAAACCCCACUCGGAGCAAGACCAAAUAGGGAUCCGCUAGGCGUGACCCGCGCCGGAUCCGGGUAGGUUGCUUGAGGCUUGUGGCGACGCAAGUCCUAGACGAAUGAUUGUCCACGACAAAACCCGGCUUACAGGUCGACUCCACCU